GAUGAACGCUGGCGGCGUGCUUAACACAUGCAAGUCGAACGCACUCGACCUUCGGGUCACAUGAGUGAGUGGCGGACGGGUGAGUAACACGUGAGAAACCUACCUCGGAGUUUGGAAUAAUUCAGGGAAACUUGAACUAAUACCAAAUACCCCCCGUGGAUCGAGUGGUCUACGGAGGAAAGAUUUAUCGCUUUGGGACGGUCUCGCGGCCUAUCAGCUAGUUGGUGAGGUAACGGCUCACCAAGGCGUCGACGGGUAGCUAGUCUGAGAGGACGAAUAGCCACACUGGGACUGAGACACGGCCCAG
rnacentral:rRNA from 1 species